UACCUAAAACUGCUUGUGUAUGUAGACAUUUGUUCUAGCUAAUAUAAGUCUGACUUCGGAUUUGUAUUUGUAGAUUUAGAUAUGUAAUAUAUUUUGCAGGAAAGGACAGAGUUGAAUUUAAAAACAACCAAUUCUUACAUUUUACUCCAGCAUGGAGAAAAUUCCUUUCAGGAGCAUUAUUUAAUUUACUGCUUCUUAAUUCCAAUUCUAUAGAUGAAAAAAUGAGGCUCAGAUAAAGUAAAUAGCUUGACCAAGAUCCCAUCAUUAGUAAAAAACAGAGUUAUCUAACUCCAAAAUAUUUGUUCUUUCCAUUAUAUGUUGCUAUAGGUGUUAAUAACAAUUUUCAGUGAAAAUAUGAUGUAAGCACAGAGCAAAGGAAAGCCCUGGAACAAAACUCACUGGGUAAUGUUUCCUGUACUAACAAUCAUCCACAAGUGGUGCCAUCCAUAGCCAUCUGGUCCAAUUUCCCCACACUACAUAACUUGAUUGGCUUCUCAUGGUCUUGCCAACAUUUUUUGAGCAUUGUUAUCUUUUUUUAGUAGCUUCCUUAAAGAUGCUGCACUUCAAUCUUCAGGCCAGGGCACGUGAGGCAGUGAACCCAAUCCUGUAAACUUCUCUGACUCUCCAAGACCCCUUGCCAAGCCACUGCUGCUGGGAGACAGCCCUAGAGCAUGACUUCUUGCAAUGUACUUUGAAGUAGAUAAAAUAUGCACUCACGGACAUCUGUCUGUUAUUUCCUGCACUCACAGCUUUGUUCUGCUUUAUUGCCAGAGAAUUCUAUGGAUGAUGUCACUUUUUCUGAAGAGAACAGGCCAUCAGAGCUUUUCACUGACAUAAUUAAUUAUCUGCAGUUUGAUUCUGGGCCAGAAAAUUCUCAAGGCACAGCCCCCAAAAGAAUUAACUCUACUGUGCUUGCUAUUCUUAAACUGUUAAAGAGACAGGGUACCAUAUCUCUUUUUUUCUCAGGCACUGAUAAUGGUAUUUUUGUUCAGUGAUAUCAAGUAACAGAAAGUGAACUGGGGCACUAUUCUAUGAUUUCACAAGGAAGACCUUCGGUUCAAUGGGCAGCAAACUCUAAAGGUCGCUACAGAUCAAGUAUACAAAGCAAAGCUUUUAGGGCUUAGUCUUAAAUGCUACAGGAAUGCAUCACAAUUACUGAAUAGACUUUGGGGGAUCUUGUGAAUCUGCAGGCAGAAAAAUGAGAUCUCAACCAAAGCUAACCAUGUUAAAUUAGCCACAAGGUGAAAGGCUUCAGUUUAUCAGCCACAAAAGCCUAAAACAUAAAAUAUAUUUAAACCUUUCAGGAGAUAAGAAAUUACCUGAAUGGUGACCAUAUAUUUUGAGAGUCUUCACCUAUGUUUUCAUAUAGAUCUAAAACAAAUUAGCCAGUUGCCCAAAAGACUUGUUACUCUCCAUUCUGCUGGGUUUCAAGAUUAUGUAAAUGCACUGUUCUUUGUCUCUUUAAAACUGGAGCUCUGUGGGGAAUGAUGGACACUGUAGAUGUCAUAAGGCAGUGGAGGGGCUCUGUGGAAUCAGGGCACUUGAGUCAUUUCUGUCCCUGAUCUUCACUAGGUGAGUAAUAAGGUAAGAUCUGGGAAGUCUCUCAACUUUCUCAACUCUGGUGGAAAUAGCAAAAUCCUAUUUAAUCUAAAGGAUUAAUGGAGACCAUAGGUUUGAAUAUGCAUAUAAAUAUUGUCCCCCUAAAAAGGAAUUGUUAUUUAUGGUCUCUUCUACUACCUUAGUUCUGCAUAAAUGAGUUUGAAUUGUGCUCUCUCUGAAUGAAUUUACAGUGGUAAAUUAUCUCUUUAGACCUACUAUCAAAAUUUAAAGACAAAAUUAUGACACAAAAAUGUUUGUUAUAAAAAAAUCAAUAUUAGAGAAGUGGUUAAAGAAAAUGAAACGUAUAUGCUACAUCCUCCCACAUUCCACUCACCAAGGCUAAUUCUAUUAAUAAUUUGAAGUGGAUCAUUUCAAAACUGUUUUCUCUGUAGAUAUACAAAUGUAGUAGUAACACAUGCAUUAUCUCCCCCACCCAACAACAUUAUGAAGCACUUAGACAAGUAAUGGACAAAGUGCUUUUUAAACAUUAUCUCACUUAAACCUUACAUAACCUUAUCAGAUAGACACUAUUAUUAUCACCAUUUUGUAAAUGAGGGCUCUGAGGCAGGUGCAGAAAAGUUCAGUCAUUUGCUCAGUCACAUUAACUAAUAAGUGGUGUCAGAAUGCGAAAUCAGGCAACCUAACUUCAGAGCUGGCAAUCUUAAUAUUAUACUUUAUAAAUUCUCCAUAUACAUAUAUCCAUAUAGAACCUCUCAAAUAUGUACCACCUUAUUUUUUUAUUCAACAAUAGAAUGGAAAGGUCAAGGAGAAUUAAAUUUCAUUGCCACUAAUACUCAUUUCACCAUAACUGUUAUGUCUUGUAUUUCAUUUUCAAUAAAUUAAUCAAGCCUCUUCUAUUUUUAUGUCCGUCUUUCAGUUGAGUCUUUUUCAGUGUUCUCAAUUUUUUUUACCUGAAUCUAUAACCUAAAAUUUAGAUCAAACUCUAAUACAAAAAAAAUUCCAAGGAAAAGAUCAAAUAAUUGUGUUAGACUAGAAUUCCACUUUGUUAACUUUGUUUGAAAUAACAAUUUCCACUGUGAUUUAUGUCUGUAGUAAUUAAAUCAAACCUUUACCAGACAUCUCUGAUUUGUCCUGCUCCUCGCUUUACAUGGAAGUUGACAGAUCUAGCUACUUCUUCUCUUUCCUUUAGCACCUGCACAUCCUAAAUGGAACAUUAGUUAUCUAUCUCUCUUCCUCCCCCUCUUCUUCCAUCCUUCAUUCCAUCUGCUAACUUAUUCCUUUAGCAGCUAUGUGCAAAGUAUGUGGCUAGUUGCUGUGGUGAAUCUCAUACGAGUAGGACAUACUCCUGUUUGUAUGACUUUAUAAUCUAGUAGGAGUGAGAUUUCGGAAGGUUACUCCUAUAGCUAAUUGUUCAUCAAGCCACCUUUUGGAAGGAAGGGUGAAAGGAAAGUUCUAGAGCAUGAAAUAGCAUUGGGAAGUCUUCAGGAUUAAUCUUUAAUUUCUGUUUUUUGACCAUCUAAUUGGCUCCAAGCCUUAGCGGACCAUUUGAUUUAUAGAAUCAGAAUAAUUUAGAACAACAAAAAAAUUAAUUGCUUUUUUUUUUUUUUUUUUGAGACAGGGUCUUGUUCUGUUGCCCAGGCUGGAGUUCAGUGGCACAGUCAUGGCUCACUGCAGCUUCAACCUCCAAGGCUCAAUUGAUUCCCCCCGCCUCAGCCUCCCGAGUAGCUGGGACUACAAAUCCUGAAGUCAACCAGGAACUGGUUGGAAGAGAAGAUGGGCCAUCAGUGAAAAAUGGUGGUUACAAUGAAGCAACCGAUUUCACAGCUAAGGUUGUUAAACUCCCACUAAGAAGCAUGAAAAAGAGCAAGAUGCACUUGAGGAGAUAAAGCAGACCUUUGAAGGGAAACCAAACAUCAGUUCAAGUUGUAACUUAGAGACCAGAAAAGAUAUUCCAAGUUUUUGUGAAUUUUAAAAUGUGCUCUUUUGUAUGGAAAAAAUAAAUCCUGUUGGCAAACAA